CCUACGGGAGGCUGCAGUGAGGAAUAUUGGUCAAUGGCCGGAAGGCUGAACCAGCCAUGCCGCGUGAAGGUCAGUGCCCUAUGGGCGUUAAACUUCUUUUGUGCGGGAGCAAUAAUGGUCACGUGUGGCCAGACGAGAGUACCGUACGAAUAAGCAUCGGCUAACUCCGUUCAAGCAGCCGCGGUAAUACGGGGGGUGCAAGCGUUAUCCGGAUUUAUUGGGUGUAAAGGGUGCGUAGGCUGUGAGGUAAGUCAGCGGUGAAAUGCCCCCGCUCAACGGGGUGAAGUGCCAUUGAUACUGGCUGGCUAGAAUGCGGAAGCGGUGGGAGGAACGUGUGGUGUAGCGGUGAAAUGCAUAGAUAUCAGAGAGAACACCGAUUGCGAAGGCAUCUCACGAAGCCGUGAUUGACGCUGAUGCACGAAAGCGUGGGUAUCAAACAGGAUUAGAUACCCGUGUAGUC
rnacentral:rRNA from 1 species